rnacentral:tRNA from 1 species
GGAUCGGUAGCUCAGCGGUAGAGCGGGUGCCCCAUAAGCAUUUGGCCGCAGGUUCGACCCCUGCCCGAUCCA